rnacentral:ribozyme from 1 species
AACUACCGCAAGGCCCGCUCCGAAAGGAGUGAUCGGUGCAAGUCCGAUGCCCUCUUCGGAGGGUGGUGCUCAUGGUGCACAU